GAUGAAGAACGCAGUGAAAUGCGAUAAGUAAUGUGAAUUGCAGAAUUCAGUGAAUCAUCGAAUCUUUGAACGCACAUUGCGCCCGCCAGUAUUCUGGCGGGCAUGCCUGUCUGAGCGUCAUUUCAACCCUCGAGCAACUUCUGCUUGGUGUUGGGGAUCGGCCGUCAAACGCCGCCCCCGAAAUCUAUUGGCGAUCUCGCUGUAGCUUCCUAUGCGUAGUAGUAACAUCUCGCAUCUGGAGAGCGGCGCGGUCAUGCCGUAAAACACCCAACUUCUCAGGUUGACCUCAGAUCAGGUAGGAAUACCCGCUGAACUUAAGCAUAUCAAUAAGCGGAGGA
rnacentral:misc_RNA from 1 species